AACACUGCACUGCCUAUGAUUUAUCUUAUAGCAAGUCCUGCCUUUAAGAAAUUAACAUUACACUGAAGGCUUCUACUUCCAUAAUUUGGGAGAAUAAGCAUUCUAUGGUUAUUGAGAAGCAGCAAGCAAUAGUGAAGAGAUAUAGAAGUAAUUGGGUUCUGAGUACUUUGUCAUAGAGCUCAGUAUCUGCAUGGAAAUAUAAUAAAAGGGCCGAAAAAGGGUAUCCAAUGGCAUUUCAGACAUGAGUAGUCAUCAUAACUUCAUACUCUCUCCGUGGCAUUUCACCUGCCAAAGAUCUCCUUGGGACCAGAUUCCAUUCUCAGCCUAGAACAUGCUUGCUGGAAGGAACCAUGCUUUGUUCAUGGUCUCUCACCGGGCCUGACGCUGAAGUCUUUGCUCUUCUCCUUGCAACAAACUUUCCUCCUUUGACAGCAGAUCCAUGCUGGUUUGUUUGGUCAGCUUGUAUUUGGGCUAGUUCUGUGGGGCACGGCUCUUCUUCUAUUAGAUGCUUGUGACCAAGAUAAAGUUACCAUAUAACUAAUCUUUUUGGAAUGGGAAGUCAAGGACCAGAUAAAAUUAAAUGCCUUUGACACUAUCACCCAAGAGACCAGUGCUUCAUUACUGAUGAGAUGAUGUGCAGUCCAUCACAGAGCAAUGUCACUAAUGAGCCUUCUAAACAACCAGAACCACACUUUUUAAUAAGGAUUGGAAAAUGAGAACUACGAUGUCUUGCCUGUUAGAGAAAAAAAGGAGUGUGAGAGAUAUACAAAGUCCUGCCUCAUGUAAAUUGGUAUUUGCCUUUUCAAAUGACAUGUUUGUUAGUCAAGUAUACAGAGAUGUCUUAGGCAGGUACUGGGGAGAGCCUUAGGGUCUGCUGGUGUGCAGCAAGUAAUCAAAAAAAAUCUGAACUUGGGGUGGGGCGAAGUGAUGGUGGGAGGAAAUAAAAGCUGUUGCACGUU